rnacentral:rRNA from 1 species
UACGGAGGGGGCAAGCGUUGUUCGGAGUCACUGGGCGUAAAGGGCGCGUAGGCGGUGCAUCAAGUCAGGCGUGAAAGCCCCGGGCUUAACCUGGGAAUUGCGCUUGAUACUGAUGCGCUAGAGAGCGGGAGAGGAUGGCGGAAUUCCCAGUGUAGAGGUGAAAUUCGUAGAUAUUAGGAAGAACACCAGUGGCGAAGGCGGCUCACUGGCCCGGUACUGACGCUGAGGCGCGAAAGCGUGGGAGCAAACAGG